UUAAUAUUCCUGUACUUGGUGUUACUGCGAAGGGGGGACGGAGAAGGCUAUGUUGGCCGGGCGACGGUUGUCCCGGUUUAAGCGUGUAGGCUGGUUUUCCAGGCAAAUCCGGAAAAUCAAGGCUGAGGCGUGAUGACGAGGCACUACGGUGCUGAAGCAACAAAUGCCCUGCUUCCAGGAAAAGCCUCUAAGCAUCAGGUAACAUCAAAUCGUACCCCAAACCGACACAGGUGGUCAGGUAGAGAAUACCAAGGCGCUUGAGAGAACUCGGGUGAAGGAACUAGGCAAAAUGGUGCCGUAACUUCGGGAGAAGGCACGCUGAUAUGUAGGUGAAGUCCCUUGCGGAUGGAGCUGAAAUCAGUCGAAGAUACCAGCUGGCUGCAACUGUUUAUUAAAAACACAGCACUGUGCAAACACGAAAGUGGACGUAUACGGUGUGACGCCUGCCCGGUGCCGGAAGGUUAAUUGAUGGGGUCAGCGCAAGCGAAGCUCUUGAUCGAAGCCCCGGUAAACGGCGGCCGUAACUAUAACGGUCCUAAGGUAGCGAAAUUCCUUGUCGGGUAAGUUCCGACCUGCACGAAUGGCGUAAUGAUGGCCAGGCUGUCUCCACCCGAGACUCAGUGAAAUUGAACUCGCUGUGAAGAUGCAGUGUACCCGCGGCAAGACGGAAAGACCCCGUGAACCUUUACUAUAGCUUGACACUGAACAUUGAGCCUUGAUGUGUAGGAUAGGUGGGAGGCUUUGAAGUGUGGACGCCAGUCUGCAUGGAGCCGGCCUUGAAAUACCACCCUUUAAUGUUUGAUGUUCUAACGUGGACCCGUGAUCCGGGUUGCGGACAGUGUCUGGUGGGUAGUUUGACUGGGGCGGUCUCCUCCUAAAGAGUAACGGAGGAGCACGAAGGUUGGCUAAUCCUGGUCGGACAUCAGGAGGUUAGUGCAAUGGCAUAAGCCAGCUUGACUGCGAGCGUGACGGCGCGAGCAGGUGCGAAAGCAGGUCAUAGUGAUCCGGUGGUUCUGAAUGGAAGGGCCAUCGCUCAACGGAUAAAAGGUACUCCGGGGAUAACAGGCUGAUACCGCCCAAGAGUUCAUAUCGACGGCGGUGUUUGGCACCUCGAUGUCGGCUCAUCACAUCCUGGGGCUGAAGUAGGUCCCAAGGGUAUGGCUGUUCGCCAUUUAAAGUGGUACGCGAGCUGGGUUUAGAACGUCGUGAGACAGUUCGGUCCCUAUCUGCCGUGGGCGCUGGAGAACUGAGGGGGGCUGCUCCUAGUACGAGAGGACCGGAGUGGACGCAUCACUGGUGUUCGGGUUGUCAUGCCAAUGGCACUGCCCGGUAGCUAAAUGCGGAAGAGAUAAGUGCUGAAAGCAUCUAAGCACGAAACUUGCCCCGAGAUGAGUUCUCCCUGACCCUUUAAGGGUCCUGAAGGAACGUUGAAGACGACGACGUUGAUAGGCCGGGUGUGUAAGCGCAGCGAUGCGUUGAGCUAACCGGUACUAAUGAACCGUGAGG
rnacentral:rRNA from 1 species